CAGGAACAAAGGCUCAGAGCUAAGUGCAGGACCAGAGCUCAGGCAUUCCCAGGCCUCAUGGUUACGUUAUGACCAAAUCAGCCUAGAAACUCACAGAUGCAACCCUGGUGGAAAGGACUGCCCAGCCUUAAAGCUUUUUGCUCUCUAGAGAGAAGUCCAAGACAUGCUGUUUGGUUUAUUGGCUACUAUGGUGGACAUGUAAGAAAAUGUCACAAAAGAACAAAAGAAAAUGGAACCAAAAGUCCAUCUUUGGCAAAAGCAUGGUCACUGACCAAACUGCUGGGUCAAAUCAGAAGGAAAUGUUUGUCCAGAGCUAGAAUGAAGCUCUUCAUCUGCUGAACUUCAACAGACCAUGAGAGAGCUUCAGGAUGACCAUUUAUCUCAUGGACAUUUUAUCAAAUUUCUGUGAAUUUGAUACAGGUACCUGGACAGGUUUUACCAUAACUAAAUCAAAAUCUGGUCCCUUUCUGAAUGUUUACAUUUCUCAUUCUUCCACAGUUUUUUCUCACUUCCUGAUUUUCUCUGGGACCAAAAAUAAAAAUUCUAAAACCCAGUGGGAAAUGAAUGUC
rnacentral:lncRNA from 1 species